CCUACGGGAGGCAGCAGUGGGGAAUAUUGGACAAUGGGGGGAACCCUGAUCCAGCGACGCCGCGUGAGUGAAGAAGUAUUUCGGUAUGUAAAGCCCUAUUAGCAGGGAAGAAAGAAAUGACGGUUCCUGACUAAGAACCCGCGGCUAACUACCGGCCAGCAGCCGUGGUAAUACGUAGGGGGCAAGCGUUAUCCGGAUUUACUGGGGGUAAAGGGGGCGUAGGCGGGUAAGGAAGGCUGUAGUGAAAGGCGGGGGCCCAACCAUCGGACUGCAUUGGAAACUGUAAAACUUGAGUGCAGGAGAGGUAAGUGGAAUUCGUAGUGUAGCGGUGAAAUGCGUAGAGAUUAGGAGGAACACUAAUUGCGAAGGCGGCCUGCUAGAAUAUAACUGACGUUGAGGCGCGAAAGCGUGGGGAGCAAACAGGAUUAGAUACCCGAGUAGUC
rnacentral:rRNA from 1 species